AGUCUCUGUGAAGUACGCCUAAGGGUAUCCCAUCGACAUAAAAGCGCCGGCUGUUGUGUGUUAGCGCUAGGCCGCUUGUUGGCUCGCGCUGGUGCGGUCGAUGGAUCUCCCCUCCGCGCAGCGCUCACUCCACACCGCCGCUACCGCUCCGCACAUCGGCCUUUCUAUGUUACCCGAAAAUACCGCUCGAUAAAACCUGCUUUUCCGUGUCCCAUUAACCAGGACAAACCAUCCGAGCCAUCGGACGCGGGGCUAGAACUUUACAGCUCUCGCCUUCAUGGGCUCGUUUGUUUUUCUUGUUUUCUGCGGAGGUUGUUUGAGCUCCAGGAAGUGUGCGCACUCUUGUAUUGUGCCCCCACUAGUCCAUGCCAACUGAAACGUCUCCAAGAUUGGAGUCAAGCAAGGCCUGCCAGAAUUAUUUCCAGUCGUUAUAAUAGGGGAUUCUCCUUGUUGUAAUAUUUAUCUGGAGGUCUAUUUCUAAUGAGAAGGAAAAAAAACGGAUCAAUUUCAUUACUGAGUAGAAUCUUUACUGCACAAGGUAACGUAUGGAGGCCUACAAAAAUAUGAAAUACAUUUUUAUAUUUAAGAACUUCUCGAGUAUUGGGAAAAAACGGGGUAUAUUUAUUUAUUUACAUAUUUAUUAAUCUGUUCAACAUUCAAUACACCAAUGUAGAAUUUACUUAAAUGAAGGAAUACAUUUCCAAACUGAUUUUCAGCUCCAUUGUCACCACAGUCAUCUAAUGUUUAUCUAAUUAUCUAAUAUAAUGUGACCGAGAUGAAAUGUCAGGGUUGUGACAGAAAAUAUAAGCACAAUUACUUGAAAUUAUAGUAGAAAUAUAAAAAUUAUCAAAGCAAGUGAGACUUCUGAAAUCAUAGCAGGUGAAAUAUGGAAAUAGCUGACUAUUUCCGGAUAUCAAAAACUAUUGAGCAUGAGGCUUAAUUUGACUUAAUGGUACUUUAGCUUACCGGUAAUGUCAGUAAUGAGGUUCUUCUCUAUGAUUAUAGGUUCCAUAGAGAAAAUGGUUUGAUAAGAUCUCACCGUUGGACUUCAAAUACUGGCUUGUUUGAAAAUAAUUUUAUAGGUAAGUGACUAUAACAAAGUCUCAAUCACUGCUGGACAUGUACCUUAAAUUGUCCACAGCCAGAAUUUCUUAAUGCUGCAUUAAAAUUAGUUUUGAAAGAAUUCAGUACAUUAAAAAGGUGUUUUUUUGUGUGUGUGUGUCUUAUUGUCACUUGUACUAACACCUGUCUAAAAGCAUUUGUGAUCCAUACCUAUCCAAGUCUAUUUGUACAGUGUUGUGUCAUUAACUGGAAUGACAUCAAACUGAUCAACAAAUCAAAAUUGCAGAGCAAACUGGUCACAUGUCCUUGGUGAGCUAAAUAUAAACCCAGAAUUUCAACCAUCAUUUCAUGACAGCUAGAAAAUGAUCCCUAUUCACCAACUAAAGAAAAAAAAAAACGAAAAACAAAAAAAAAAUACAACUACGACCGGAAACCUAAUAAACAACUCAUUUCAUGACAGCUGAAAAUGAUCCCUAUUCACCACUGAAAAAAAAAGAAAACAAAAAAAAUAACACUGCCGGAAACCUAUAAACAACAUUCGUUCAUAUGCAAACAAGGUUACUGAGAUGAAGUAACCUUUCCAGCGGUGCGCUGUCCUCUCUGGGGAACUGCUGACAUCAUUUUCAGUGUGGGUUCCAUGGAGUGAGUAAUGGUGCAGGUCUGUUUCCUUCAUUUAAUUUAGAUAGUGCUACCGGCAGGAAGUAGGGAAGACUGGGGCUAGUAGUCAAACAUUUUACCCUGGUGAAUAUUUCUCAGGGUAUGUCUAUUGUUGAUAUUUAAAUUUGUGUAUAGCCACAUACCUGUAAUGUCUGGAAUAAAAUAAAUAAAUAAAUAAAUAAUCUACUUUAAAAGGAUACAGUUCCUUGUUAUUGGCUUGUUAUACAAUUAUGAAACACAAAACAAUUGAUUAAACAGCAAAACUGUUAUUAAAACACUUACUUAUGGAGAUUUUUAGAAGAAUACAGAAAUCUAAAAUCCAUAAACAGAUACUCCUAAUAAACAUCCAAAAUAGAAUUUCAAGUACAUUCUAAUGAAUGCAAUCAAUUCUCUUAAACAUAAUGCCAUUAUGAUGAUUCAGCGAUAGUAAUUAAGCUGAGCGGAUAUAUUGAAUUGUGGCCACACAGGUGCCAUUUAUAUCCCCAUGUAAUAAUUAGGUUUAAUGAUAAAGCCAAAUGGCUCAUUAGAAUGCUCAUUCAUGUUCUUCUGAGACAAGUACAAAGAUAGGCAUAUGGCGUGGGAUCUGCGCUCUUAACAGAUGAUAUUUGCUUACCUUGUGUUGCUAGGUUGUCUUCAUCCAGAAUGCCCUUAGACACACAACAUCGCCCUCGUCUGCUUGUUAUUUUGUAAGGCGUGGGAACAGGCAUCAUUCUGUCUAACAAGAACCUUAGUGAGAGUUCAUCUGUGCACUUUGCCAUCAACACAGUCUCAAUUUUGAGCUUUAUUAUUAACUCUAUUGGUGGUUUCUUUAAAGGACUAACAGAAAGAAGUGAAAAGCAAUCUCAUUGACUUUGUUGUCCCACCACAUGGUGGCACUGGUGCUCUGUCACGUUUUCAUCACCAGUAGGAAGCGCUCCAUUACCUUCACUAUGAUAAAGUGUUGAAGCAGCCACAGAACACAUCGUAGGUACAUACUGUAUGCAUUGCUGUGAUACAAUUAGAAUAAAUUCAUUAAUUCCUUAUACCGGUAUCAGCACUCUGUUGAAGUGGAAAUAAUCUUUUAGUCCUCUAAUAAGUUGAUUGAUUGCGUGAUACAAUUA
rnacentral:lncRNA from 1 species